rnacentral:misc_RNA from 1 species
GUGAAUCAUCGAAUCUUUGAACGCAAAUUGCACUCUCUGGUAUUCCGGCGAGUAUGCCUGUUUGAGGGUCAGUUUAAAUAACAAUCGGUGUGGUUGCUGCCUUUCGUCGUUACGCACCGGAUUUGGGUCGUCUUGCCUUCGGUUAAGUGACCUCAAAUUUUGCAUGAUUUUUUUCGCACGUAUUUUAAUGAUUUUGCCUACGCUUUCAAU